rnacentral:rRNA from 1 species
AUCGAGACGGGUCGUUCGAUACUGAGAGACUUGAGGGCAACAGAGGGAAGUAGAACUCCCGGUGUAGCGGUGAAAUGCGUAGAUAUCGGGAAGAAUACCAGUGGCGAAGGCGGCUUCCUGGGUUGCCCCUGACGCUGAGUUCCGAAAGCGUGGGGAGCGAAACGAAUUAGAUACUCGUGUAGUCCACGCCCUAAACUGUGAGUACUAGGUAUGGGGGGUAUCGACCCUCUCCGUGCCGAAGCUAACGCUUUAAGUACUCCGCCUGGGGACUACGGUCGCAAGACUAAAACUCAAAGGAAUUGACGGGGGCCCGCACAAGCAGCGGAGCGGGUGGUUUAAUUCGAUGCUACACGAAGAACCUUACCAGGGCUUGACAUUAUGGAAGUAGGAACCAGAAAUGGUAACCACCAGUAUCCAGUCUGGAGCCAUAACAGGUGCUGCAUGGUUGUCGUCAGCUCGUGCCGUGAGGUGUUGGGUUAAGUCCCGCAACGAGCGCAACCCUCGUCGCUAGUUGAAUUCUCUAGCGAGACUGCCUCGUACAACGAGGAGGAAGGUGGGGAUGACGUCAAAUCAGCACGGCCUUUAUGUCCUGGGCGACACACACGCUACAAUGGGUGCCACAAAGGGUUGCCAAAGAGCGAUCUGGAGCCAAUCCCAAAAAAGCACCCUCAGUUCAGAUCGCAGUCUGAAAUCGACUGCGUGAAGUCGGAG